GGACUACCGGGGUAUCUAAUCCGGCUCGCUCCCCUGGGUUUCGUCCCUCACCGUCAGGCCCGUUCCAGCUAGAUGCCUUCGCCAUCGGUGGUCCCCCUGGGAUUAUAGGAUUUUACCCCUACCCCAGGAGUACCUCUAGCCUCUCCCGGCCUCAAGACAGGUAGUAUCUUUAGAAUUCCCACGCUUAAGACGUAGGAUUUACCCAAAGACUUGCCUAUCCGGCUACGGACGCUUUAGGCCCAAUAAAAGCGGCCACCACUAGGGCUGCCGGUGUUACCGCGGCGGCUGGCACCGGUCUUGCCCAGCCCUUAUUCCUGCAACUAUUUACGCUGCAGAAAAGCACAUACAAAUGUAUGCGCACUCGGAGUACCCUCAUCACACUUUCGUGCAUUGUGAAGGUUUCGCGCCUGCUGCCCCCCGUAGG
rnacentral:rRNA from 1 species